GUGUAUAUUACAUAGGAAAAGAGAUAGGAAAAUAAAUCAAUCUCCUUUUUGCCAUUACAAACAAAGCUAAUGAAAUCUAUGGAUCCUGCUUCCAGAACAAUUAAAAAACAUCCAAACAUUCCAUGUCAUUGCCGAGGUUCAAAGGCCCCUUAGAGACCCUCUCCGGGGAAGAACUUAGACCCGCUGCUACAGUCAAUUCGCUUGCUCACCAUCCCCAGGGGUGGGCGGCAUCUUUACUCCACCAGCGCAGUGAUGUGCCUUGGGGAGCAGUGGAGAAAGGAAGGUUCCAGUGCUGUCAGAACCAAGCCAGCACCCCGGUGAUUAGAUGUGAAGCGGUAAUAUAAUUGUCGUAGGAAACACACAACAAGGAAAGUUGAGCCAAAGAGAACUCUCCACGUCUGCCCGACCCCCCAAAGACAGCCCGGCACCUCUCCCUCCCUUCCUGGAGCAUAUCCGGCCCUAGACCCCAGCACCCCCACAGCCUGCUCCAGGGCGGUGGCGGCUGUGCCAGCCCCCUCACUGUUGGGUCCUCUGCAACUUCCGGAUCUCAGCCCUUUGGAGAAGAAGGAAGUGAGGAAAUACCAGAAGGUAGAGAACUGUUUGCGUUACAAACAGCGAUCUUGCUUUUUAAACCUCAGGAGGAUAAUGAUCUGUUUUUAGUGUAUUAAAGCUUCAUUGUUUAAGUAGGGAAAUAGGCAUCGACUUCAAAACAGGGAAGCCUAGAAGCAGAAUAAGCAUCUUUGAGAAGCGAGGGUAGAACGAGAAGACUUGCCAUGUGGCUUAAGGAAGCCACUUCUUCCUUCUGGGACUCAGUGGCCCAUCGGUUCAAAGGAGGAGUUGGCUUCCAGAAGAUGCAUGACAUCCAGCCCUGACAUCCCAGGGUUUUGAGACUGGCUGCAUCCACUCCCUUCUGGAACUGCAAGAGACGAAAGCAGUCGUCCUCAUAACAGCCCUGUGCCUGGCACAGGGUAGACACCCAACUAAUAAGGUUGUUGCCCUGCACUCUUCUUGCUUCCUGGUCCUGUACACACACGAGCCCUUAGCUGGCCCUCGAUACUGCUUUUCUCAGCUACAAUAUGGGCCUGGUCCUAGCAGUGCUAGUACUUCUCGUUGACUGAGCCAUGAGGAUGAAUGAUCCCGAGCCUGAAUGGGGAGCGGUUGCUGUGUGGCCUGGGAGCAGCAAACAGAAGCCCUGAAGGUUCAGGGAGAGAAGGGUCGAGAAGAAACACAGAGCAACUCAGAGCUUCUAGAUCAGGGAAUGAGAAGGAGGAUUCCCCUGUCUCAAGGCAAUUGUGAAGAUCCAACGUGAGGAUGUAUGUGCAAGUCAAGGUCAAGAGCAUGAAAGCAAGCUGGUCCGUGAGGGAGCUGGGAUCCUCACUCCAGGGCCAGGGUCUCCCAGCGCUUCACCUGACAGGUCUCCUCCUGCUACCAUCACUGCACCGCCAGCCCCGUCUUUCAUGCAAACCACACUACAGGAGACAGAAGGCAGAGUCCCGGGCCCUGAGGGUCUAGGAGUGUAUGGGCUCUGAGAUAAACGCCGGAGGCAGCAGCUCCCUGGACGUGAGCGUGAGAAAGGGCACACACUAGCAACCGAAUCACCUGGCCCGGUGCAGUUCGAGAUCAUCGGUACCUUCCUCUGUCCUCAGACAGGGAGCUCCGGGGACCAUCUGGGGCCCGGGAGCUGGUUGGCAAUUUUUACAAGCCACAGAAUGAGAAAGGGUGCUGCCUUGUCACUGCAUUCCAAGAAACAAUCUGGUCUCUGCAACAAUCACUUUUUCGUGACUGUCUCCAAUUCCACUGGUGGAUACACCAUAAUUGAAUGCGCCGCAACAAGGAGAAAUGCUGAGGGUCAGACAGUGAGGGAACAGUGCAGAGAGCCAAAUGGUGCAUUCAUUCUAGCCCCGCCCAUUUAAUGGUCUACCCACCCGCGGAAGGGUCUCGUCCACAUAAAAGCUGCUGUAUGGGCAGUACUUUCCCCCGGUGUU